rnacentral:rRNA from 1 species
AUGACCACGCCCAGCUCACAAUCCCUUCCCCAGAUGCUGCUGCUGCCAGCAAUCCUACUGGUCAUCUUUGCGGCCGUGGCUGAACAGCAGCAGCAUCCGGUGCCACGUCCUGGUUGCCGCGAUAAGUGCGGCGACAUCACCAUCCCCUUCCCGUUCGGCAUCGGCAACGGCUGCUACCGCGAUGGCUUCGAGGUCAUUUGCAACGACUCCUUCAUUCCUCCUCGUGCUUUUCUUGCUGACAACAGAACAAUCAAUCUAGAGAGAUCCUUCUACGACGACCGGGGCUACUAUCAGUCGUCGCCGCCGCUGGAGCUCUUGAGCAUAUCAGUCGCCACGAGCAAGGUACGAGCAUACGCUGCAGUAUCGUACCGCUGCAGCCUAAAUAUGACCGGCCGGACCGUGUCCAAGGGAGGUGAGGGGAAAACCUUCUUCAUGUCCCAGCAUAUAAAUUUCGGCAACUCGGCGUUUGCUGUCUCAGCAGCGCGCAAUGUUCUCAUAGGCGUCGGCCAGAUAGUGGAGCCUGUACUGGUAUAUGGUAACGGCGGUUCGGUGCCUAACUUGUAUUGCCGCACAAUAUCAGAGAGACGGUACAUGCAGAGGUACAACCCGGUCAAGAAUGGGUCAUGCGAGGGGCGGGGCUGCUGUGAGACCACCCUUCUGCAUCCCGGCAAGAGUUUGACCGUGUCUGUCACUGAGGAGGACGACGAGUGGUGGGAGCUUUAUCCCUGCUCCUACGCCAUGCUCGUGGAGAAGUCAUGGUACAGCUUCUUUACACCGGACAUGUCCGGUAACAAGACGCUGCACCAAAGGUUCCUCCGUGGCGUCCCCCUCGUGCUGGAUUUCGCUGCCGGAAAUGUUUCGUGUCCGGCGGAAGGACAGCCGCCGCCUCCAGACUACGCUUGCAUCAGCCAAAACAGCUCUUGUGCCGACGCAACAGUUACUCCUGGCUAUGUCUGCCGGUGCUCCGGCAAUUACACCGGCAACCCUCACAUCGCUCACGGUUGCCAAGACAUUGAUGAGUGCAAGCUCCCUGAAAAUCCCUGCUCAAAUGGCGGGAUCUGCAAAAAUAGGCCGGGAGGCUAUGACUGUCCAUGCAAAUUUGGAAUGAAAGCGGAUGGCCAAGGGGGGACCUGCACGCAUGUAUUCCCUCCAGCAGCAAUGGCGACUGUCGGCGGAAUAGGUGGUAUUCUUCUCAUGGCAAUUAUAACGUUUCUGAUUAUUCUUCACAAAGAGAAAAAGAAGACGAAAGAAUUCUACAAAAAGAAUGGUGGCCCUAUAUUGGAACAGGCAAAUACCAUUAAACUUUUCACAAAAGGGGAGCUCAAGCCAAUUUUAAAGAAUAGCAACUUAAUUGGAAAAGGUUGCUUCGGUGAAGUUUACAAAGGCCUUCUUGACAACGAACAAGUUGCAAUAAAGAAACCGAUCAAUGGUAGCGUGCAAGAGAAUGACCAAUUCGCAAAUGAAGUCAUCAUCCAAUCUCAAGUCAUCCACAAGAACAUUGUUAGGCUCAUUGGCUGUUGCCUUGAAGUUGACGCCCCCAUGCUGGUCUAUGAGUUCAUCUCACAAGGUAGCCUCCAUGACAUUCUUCACGACAACAGUAAAAAGGUGGCCCUCAACUUGGAUGCACGUUUAAGUAUUGCUGCACAAUCAGCCGAUGGUCUAGCUUAUAUGCACUCACAAGCAAACACUAGAAUUCUACACGGAGAUGUCAAACCAGCAAAUAUACUCUUGGAUGAUAACUUUGCACCCAAAAUUUCAGACUUUGGCAUAUCUAGGUUGCUUGCGAAAGACAAGGAACACACCGGAUCAGUCAUUGGCGACAUGAAUUAUAUGGAUCCUGUAUAUCUACAAGAAGGACUACUCACUGAAAAAAGUGACGUCUAUAGUUUUGGAGUUGUGAUCUUGGAGCUUAUUAGCAGCAGAAGGGCCAUACAUUCCGAGACUAAUGGUGUGGUAAAGAGCUUUCUUGAAGCCCAUAAGAAACAGAAGAAAGCGACCGAGUUUUUUGACAAGGAAAUUGCAAUACCAGAAGAUUUAGAGCUUCUUGAUAGUCUAGCAAGUAUGGCCGUGGAAUGCCUUAGCCUUGAUGUAGAUCAAAGACCCACGAUGAUGGAGGUAGCUGAGCAGCUGCACAAACUGAGUCGGUCUCGUAAGGUGCAAGAUGUUUGUCACUAA